AAGAUGAAGACUGAGGCAGUUUAUGAGGAGCUUCAGCGGAGACCCAUAAACAGACAUGGUCUUUUCACUCAGAGGGGAAGUGUCCUUUCUACAGAACAGCAUUCUGGGUAUGAAGAUGCUGUUGAGCUUCUUUCAGCUAAUUUAGAAGAGCAACAAGUCACACCUGAAGAUUAUGAUGAUAUAAUUACUGUUGGAUUGAGACAUUAUCAUGGUACAGGUUAAU